GUGGGGAAUCUUCCGCAAUGGACGAAAGUCUGACGGAGCAACGCCGCGUGAGUGAAGAAGGUUUUCGGAUCGUAAAGCUCUUUCGUUAGGGACGAACGUGCUCUUUGUGAAUAAUGAGGAGUAAUGACGGUACCUAAAUAAGAAGCCACGGCUAACUACGUGCCAGCAGCCGCGGUAAUCCGUAGGUGGCAAGCGUUGUCCGGAAUUAUUGGGCGUAAAGCGCGCGCAGGCGGGAUAUCAAGUCUGUCUUAAAAGUGCGAGGCUCAACCUCGUGAGGGGACAGAAACUGGUAUUCUUGAGUGUCGGAGAGGAAAGUGGAAUUCCAAGUGUAGCGGUGAAAUGCGUAGAGAUUUGGAAGAACACCAGUGGCGAAGGCGACUUUCUGGACGAUGUCUGACGCUGAGGCGCGAAAGCUAGGGGAGCGAACGGGAUUAGAAACCCCGGUAGUCC
rnacentral:rRNA from 1 species